rnacentral:rRNA from 1 species
GACGAACGCUGGCGGCGUGCUUAACACAUGCAAGUCGAACGGAGAGGCCCUGCUUUUGUGGGGUGCUCGAGUGGCGAACGGGUGAGUAACACGUGAGUAACCUGCCCUUGACUUUGGGAUAACUUCAGGAAACUGGGGCUAAUACCGGAUAGGAGCUCCUGCCGCAUGGUGGGGGUUGGAAAGUUUCGGCGGUUGGGGAUGGACUCGCGGCUUAUCAGCUUGUUGGUGGGGUAGUGGCUUACCAAGGCUUUGACGGGUAGCCGGCCUGAGAGGGUGACCGGCCACAUUGGGACUGAGAUACGGCCCAGACUCCUACGGGAGGCAGCAGUGGGGAAUAUUGCACAAUGGGCGGAAGCCUGAUGCAGCAACGCCGCGUGCGGGAUGACGGCCUUCGGGUUGUAAACCGCUUUCGCCUGUGACGAAGCGUGAGUGACGGUAAUGGGUAAAGAAGCACCGGCUAACUACGUG